rfam:Ictidomys tridecemlineatus contig113702, whole genome shotgun sequence.
GGUGUUGUGGCUCAAUGAUAGAGCGCUCACCUCACAAGUGUGAAACACUGGGUUUGAUCCUUAGCACCA